rnacentral:rRNA from 1 species
AGUCACUGACAUUAGAUACCCCCGGUAGUCCCCAGCCCGUAAACUAUGCUCGCUAGGUGUCAGGCAUGGCGCGACCGUGUCUGGUGCCGCAGGGAAGCCGUGAAGCGAGCCACCUGGGAAGUACGGCCGCAAGGCUGAAACUUAAAGGAAUUGGCGGGGGAGCACAACAACGGGUGGAGCCUGCGGUUUAAUUGGACUCAACGCCGGACAACUCACCGGGAACGACAGCAAUAUGUAGGCCAGGCUGAAGACCUUGCCUGAAUCGCUG